GGGGAAUAUUGGGCGAUGGGCGCAACCCUGACCCAGCAACGCCGCGUGAAGGAAGAAGGCUUUCGGGUUGUAAACUUCUUUUACCAGGGACGAAAAAAGUAGACGGUACCUGGAGAAAAAGCAACGGCUAACUACGUGCCAGCAGCCGCGGUAAUACGUAGGUUGCAAGCGUUGUCCGGAUUUACUGGGUGUAAAGGGCGUGUAGGCGGAGAUGCAAGUUGGGAGUGAAAUCCAUGGGCUCAACCCAUGAACUGCUCUCAAAACUGUAUCCCUUGAGUAUCGGAGAGGCAAGCGGAAUUCCUAGUGUAGCGGUGAAAUGCGUAGAUAUUAGGAGGAACACCAGUGGCGAAGGCGGCUUGCUGGACGACAACUGACGCUGAGGCGCGAAAGCGUGGGGAGCAAACAGGAUUAGAUACCCUGGUAGU
rnacentral:rRNA from 1 species